rnacentral:lncRNA from 1 species
GGUUUUCCUAAGGACUUUCCCUCUGAGUUCUCCUGCCGUUUUACUCAUUCCACUCGGCACUGUGUUUCAGAAACUGCAAUUAUCAACAGGUUGUAAAAGCUAAGGAAGCAAUUUGAAGCUGGAAAUAUUUUGGAAGUACCCUACUGAGGUCUCAUCCAUCUUUGGAGUCAUCCAUACCCCAUUUCUCUGUUCUUAUCUUUCUUUUAGCCUCGUUCUAUCCCUAGGGUGAUCCCUCCUCCCCUAGGCAGAACCAGUUAGUGAUUGGCACAUUACAGUCCUCAUUAGAGGUGAACCCAUUUCUGAGAAUGUUGAGGAAGAGGGAAAAUUGGAUCAUAAGGAGUCCACAAGAAGACUCUGUAAUGUGUCUGAGGCUCUCAUGCAUCCGCCCUCCGUAAGUGCACCGGGACUGAUGUCACUUUUGAGUGCUCUGCACAUACCUGGGAAAGAAUAAAUUUUGUACUUCUCUGAAAAGCCACUUCACAGACCUGCUUGAUCCUCUUUCCAGCUUCCUAGGAGCUGGGUCAGGAUUAUCAGGCUCCUUUUGUUUUAUUUUAUCCAAGAUUUGAUUAUUUAUUUGAGAGAGACAGCAUGGUGGAAGGGGCAGAGGGAGAGGGAGAGAGGAUUCUCAAGUGGACUACCCACUGAGCAGGGAGCCCAACAUGGGGCUCCAUCCUGGGACCCUGAGAUCAUGAUCUGAGCCAAAAUCAAGAGUCAGAUGCUUAACCAA